UUUCCAACUUCUAAUUCACGUUUCUUUCACAAGGAGUGAUAUCUUGCGCAUACUUGCAAAUCUGAGUGUGGAGUUUGGUGUUUGUGAUUUCCCUGCAGCCUUCAGGUCAGCUUCCUCACACCACGUUCGCUCCAAAUGUUUUUGGUAGAGUCAAGAAAAUGUCACUUUCCAGGAAAUGGGGACCCAAAUUAAAUAACUUAAUUUGAGAACCAAUCAACCCAACUACGCAUCCAUCCAUCCAUUCAUCCAUCCUUCUAUUGAAGAAUACUUCUGAAUGUGACUGCCACUUCUUCAAUUUGCUUGUGAUAUGACCUAAGACACUUUAGGUAGACCAUCUAGAAAAGUGACUUAUGUAUCUAUAUAAUAAGGAAGUGGUAACCCGUAUGUCACGUAAUGCUGGAAAGAUUAAAUAAAGUUAAAUAUGCCAAGUG